CUCGACGUAGCCAAGUGGUCGAAGGCAGCGGCCUGCAAAGCCGCCGGCGCGAGACCGCGUCGGUUCGAGUCCGACCGUCGAGUCCG
rnacentral:tRNA from 1 species